rnacentral:snRNA from 1 species
GUGCUUGCUUCAGCAGCACAUAUACUAAAAUUGGAAUGAUACAGAAAAGAUUAGCAAAGAUGACAUACAAAUUUGUGAAGCAUUGCAUAUUUUG